GUGCUCUUCCUCUAAAACAACUCAUCCCCGUCUCUUCAAACUAUCUCUCUCUCUCUCUUUCUCCAUAUUAGUUUUUCUUUGUUUUGUUAAAGGUAAGAGAAAGAUUUUAGAUUUUUUUCCUUGGUUAAAACUGUUUGAUUUUUAAGGAUUUGAAGAGACUUAAUGGUAAGUAAACUAUAAGUUUUGCUGGAUGAUUAUAAACAAUGGGUACAAGUUGUUUUGUUCAUUUGUUUAAGAAUUUGAUUGAAUUGUUUUUCUCCCCCUUUUUCUUUAAUAACAAAUUUUGGUUAAGAUUUGAAUCAAAUUUAGUUCUUGAUAAUAAAUGUAAAUGAAAUUGGGACUUAUGUAUGUACUUUGUUUCUAAAAAUACAUCUUCCAUUGAUUACUGCUGAUAGGAAGUUCAAAUUAAUGUUAUAAUCAUUGAAUUUUAUUCAUUUGUGGACAUACUUUUCUUUCUCACCAUUUUUCUCAAUUCAUUGACUCUGCAUCUUUGUUAGGCGGAUUUGAAAAUUCCCAAAGAGAAAGAAUUCUAUGAAGAAGAUGAAGAGGAAGAAAUUGGAGCUGAAGGAAGCAGAUUGUAUGUGGGUAAUCUUUCGUAUAAUAUGAGUUCGUCAUAACUCACUGAGAUUUUCAGUGAAGCUGGCAAAGUUACUUCUGUUGAGUUUUUUUUCUUUACCCAAUUCACCCAUUUUUAUUAAUUUUUAUUAUUUUCGUAUUUUUGUGAUUAAAGGGUAUGGUUUUUACUUGCAGAUAAUUUAUGAUAGAUUAACCAAAUAGAAGCAGAGGAUUUGCUAUAAUAAUAAUGCAGAUGUGGAUGAGGCUAAAGAGGCCAUUCGUAUGUUCAGUGGAGCU
rnacentral:lncRNA from 1 species